UACAGAGGUGGCAAGCGUUGUUCGGAAUUACUGGGCGUAAAGGGCACGUAGGCGGCCUUGUCAGUCAGACGUGAAAUCCCCAGGCUUAACCUGGGAACUGCGUCUGAUACUACAAGGCUGGAGUGCGGGAGAGGGAUGUGGAAUUCCAGGUGUAGCGGUGAAAUGCGUAGAUAUCUGGAGGAACACCGGUGGCGAAGGCGGCAUCCUGGACCGACACUGACGCUGAUGCGCGAAAGCUAGGGGAGCAAACGGG
rnacentral:rRNA from 1 species